AUGAACGCUAGCGGCAGGCCUAAUACAUGCAAGUCGAGGGGCAGCGGGUGUAGCAAUACAUGCCGGCGACCGGCGCACGGGUGCGUAACACGUAUACAAUCUACCUAUCACUGGAGAAUAGCCCGGAGAAAUCCGGAUUAAUACUCCAUAACAAAUCGGGUGGCAUCACUUGAUUUUAAAAGUUCCGACGGUGAUUGAUGAGUAUGCGACUGAUUAGCCAGUUGGUGAGGUAACGGCUCACCAAAGCAACGAUCAGUAGGGGUACUGAGAGGUUAAACCCCCACACUGGUACUGAGACACGGACCAGACUCCUACGGGAGGCAGCAGUAAGGAAUAUUGGUCAAUGGAGGAAACUCUGAACCAGCCAUGCCGCGUGCAGGAAGAAGGACCUAUGGUUUGUAAACUGCUUUUGUACGGGAGAAAACCCCCCUACGUGUAGGGGGCUGAUAGUACCGUAAGAAUAAGCAUCGGCUAACUUCGU
rnacentral:rRNA from 1 species